rnacentral:rRNA from 1 species
AACGAACGCUGGCGGCAGGCCUAACACAUGCAAGUCGAGCGAGGACUUCGGUUCUAGCGGCGGACGGGUGAGUAACGCGUGGGAAUGUGCCCUUCUCUACGGAAUAGCCCUGGGAAACUGGGAGUAAUACCGUAUACGCCCUAUUGGGGAAAGAUUUAUCGGAGAAGGAUCAGCCCGCGUUGGAUUAGGUAGUUGGUGGGGUAAUGGCCUACCAAGCCGACGAACCAUAGCUGGUUUGAGAGGAUGAUCAGCCACACUGGGACUGAGACACGGCCCAGACUCCUACGGGAGGCAGCAGUGGGGAAUCUUAGACAAUGGGGGCAACCCUGAUCUAGCCAUGCCGCGUGAGUGAUGAAGGCCUUAGGGUUGUAAAGCUCUUUCAGCUGGGAAGAUAAUGACGGUACCAGCAGAAGAAGCCCCGGCUAACUCCGUG